AGUCUGCGCAGGGACUGGCGGGACUGCGCGGCGGCUGGCGGGACUGCGCGGCGGCAACAGCAGACAUGUCGCGGGUCCGGGGCCUGUCGCGGCUGCUGAGCGCUCGGCGCCUGGCGCUGGCCAAGGCGUGGCCAGCAGUGUUGCAAACAGGAACCCGAGGUUUUCACUUCACUGUUGAUGGGAACAAGAGGGCAUCUGCUAAAGUUUCAGAUUCCAUUUCUGCUCAGUAUCCAGUAGUGGAUCAUGAAUUUGAUGCAGUGGUGGUAGGCGCUGGAGGGGCAGGCUUGCGAGCUGCAUUUGGCCUUUCUGAGGCAGGGUUUAAUACAGCAUGUGUUACCAAGCUGUUUCCUACCAGGUCACACACUGUUGCAGCGCAGGUAAGAGAAAGGUGCCCCACUGUGCUCCCACUCCGUGCAGGUCCCGCGCAGCCUCGCACUUUCUACCUGGGCAGCCCCCUGCCUCCUCCCCCUGCUCCAGCCACAUGGCCUCUUGCUGUGCCUUACUCAGCUCACCCUCUCAGGGGUCUCUCCCUGGAGCCUCUUCCCUGGGGACUUUGAAGGGCGGGAGACUUGUUGUCACUCCUAAUUCAGACUCCAGUCACACUUGGGUUUUCUCUGACCAUCUUGCCUACUACCUUCCCCACCCACCCCCGCCACCCCAACACCUUAAGAAAAGGAGAUCCCCUAAAGAGGAGGAAUC
rnacentral:sRNA from 1 species